UCGAAAGAUUCGUGUCCAACUGCA
rnacentral:siRNA from 1 species